rnacentral:rRNA from 1 species
UACGUAGGGGGCUAGCGUUGUCCGGAAUCAUUGGGCGUAAAGCGCGUGUAGGCGGUCCGGUAAGUCCGCUGUGAAAGUCGGGGGCUCAACCCUCGAAUGCCGGUGGAUACUGUCGGGCUAGAGUGCGGAAGAGGCGAGUGGAAUUCCUGGUGUAGCGGUGAAAUGCGCAGAUAUCAGGAGGAACACCAAUUGCGAAGGCAGCUCGCUGGGACGUAACUGACGCUGAGGCUCGAAAGCGUGGGGAGCAAACAGG